rfam:Picea glauca, whole genome shotgun sequence.
AUGUGAAUUCUUACAACACAGUGUUAAUGCACUGGAUCCCAUUAGAAUUUCAUAGUUAAGCACACUCACACUAGAGUAGUACUGGGAUGGGUGACCACCCAGAAAGUCCUAGUAUUUUACAUG